GCCGCAGUAGUUCAACCCGGGAGAACGAUCGCCUGAAGAGCGAUACGUUGCUGGUUCAAAUCCGGCCUGCGGCA
rnacentral:tRNA from 1 species